rnacentral:rRNA from 1 species
UACAGAGGGUGCAAGCGUUGUUCGGAAUUAUUGGGCGUAAAGGGUGCGUAGGCGGUGCGGUAAGUCUGUAGUGAAAUCUCUGGGCUCAACUCAGAGUCUGCUAUAGAAACUGCCGUGCUUGAGUGUGGGAGAGGUGAGUGGAAUUCCGGGUGUAGCGGUGGAAUGCGUAGAGAUCCGGAAGAACACCGGUGGCGAAGGCGGUCUGCUGGGCAGUUGCUGACACUGAGGCGCGACAGCGUGGGGAGCAAACAGG